rnacentral:misc_RNA from 1 species
GAAAUGCGAUAAGUAAUGUGAAUUGCAGAAUUUAGUGAAUCAUCGAAUCUUUGAACGCACAUUGCACCUUUUGGUACUCCUUAAGGUAUGUCUGUUCGAGCGCCGUUUUAAACCUAAGACAUUGUCUUGUGAUGACAGAACCAAAUAUGGUCUGUCCAAAAGCAUCGGCGUUAGCUAUUGCCCGAACCACAGCGAAAAUGUGAGCAAGGCAAGAAGAUGAUAGCCAAAUUGAUAACUAAAACAUGGCCUCGGAUCAGAUAGGGAUACCCGCUGAACUUAA